UCCUCCCUCUUUCCUCGUGCUUAACACAUGCAAGUCGAACGGAAAGGCCUGCUUUCCCUUGUGGAUUGCGGGUACUCGCGUGGCGAACGGGUGAGUAACACGUGAGUGAUCUGCCCCCAACUUGGGUAUAAGCCUGGGAAACUGGGUCUAAUUCCCGAUAGGACUGCAGGGUGGUGCCUGUGGUGGAAAACGAUUUUCUAGUGGUUGGGGAUGAGCUCGCGGCCUAUCAGCUUGUUGGUGGGGGAAUGGCCUCCCAAGGCGGCGACGGGUAGCCGGCCUGAGGGGGUGGACGGCCACAUUGGGACUGAGAUACGGCCCAGACGCCGACGGGAGGCAGCAGUGGGGAAGAAUGCACAAUGGGCGGAAGCCUGAUGCAGCGACGCCGCGUGGGGGAUGACGGCCUUCGGGUUUUAAACUCCUUUCGACCGCGAGGAAGCCACCUGGUUGGAAGGGUGGUGACGGUAGUGGUAGAAGAAGCACCGGCUAACUACGUG
rnacentral:rRNA from 1 species